AUAAGAGUUCUGUAUGUAAAUCAUCUUUAUUGUGAACUUUAUUUCUAUAAUAAAGUCACACAAACUAUCUUUAGUGGAAGUUGGAUGAAAUACCGGAAAAGAAGAAUGUAGAGAUAGAUGAUAGAUAUGUAGGAUAUCUCUAUCCAUCUGCCACCCAUCUAUCUAUCAAGAAAGGACUUGAGUAAAGCACUGGCUAUAAACGACUGUACCUUUUGAUCACAGGACCUUACAAAUAAUAGGCACACUAGUUAUUUGUUUAUUUGAUUUGAAUAGGAUGACUCAUUUGUUACUGUUCAUAUGAAGUUUAUAAACUUCAUUGAGUUGUUUACUGAAAGUGGACUACACCAUGACGA
rnacentral:lncRNA from 1 species